rnacentral:rRNA from 1 species
UACGUAGGGUGCAAGCGUUAAUCGGAAUUACUGGGCGUAAAGGCGUGCGCAGGCGGUUCUAUAAGACAGAUGUGAAAUCCCCGGGCUCAACCUGGGAACUGCAUUUGUGACUGUAGAGCUGGAGUGCGGCAGAGGGGGAUGGAAUUCCGCGUGUAGCAGUGAAAUGCGUAGAUAUGCGGAGGAACACCGAUGGCGAAGGCAAUCCCCUGGGCCUGCACUGACGCUCAUGCACGAAAGCGUGGGGAGCAAACAGG